AGAUACAGGACACUAGCAUAGAGGUGGUUAGAUACAGGAAAAUAGCAUAGAGGUGGUUAGAUACAGGACAAUACCAUAGAGGUGGUUAGAUACAGGACAAUACCAUAGAGGUGGUUCGAUACAGGACACUAGCAUAGAGGUGGUUAGAUACAGGGCACUAGCAUAGAGGUGGUUAGAUACAGGACACUAGCAUAGAGGUGGUUAGAUAAUACAGGACACUAGCAUAGAGGUGGUUAGAUACAGGACACUACCUUUUAGGGUGGUUAGAUACAGGACACUAGCAUAGAGGUGGUUAGAUACUACAGGACACUAGCAUAGAGGUGGUUAGAUACUACAGGACACUAGCAUAGAGGUGGUUAGAUACAGGACACUAGCAUAGAGGUGGUUAGAUACAGGACACUAGCAUAGAGGUGGUUAGAUACUACAGGACACUAGCAUAGAGGUGGUUAGAUACUACAGGACACUGGCAUAGAGGUGGUUAGAUACAGGACACUAGCAUAGAGGUGGUUAGAUACAGGACACUAGCAUAGAGGUGGUUAGAGUCCAGUAGGCCCUAAAGAGCACUUGAACCUUUGCUUUA